UACGGAGGGUGCAAGCGUUAUCCGGAUUCACUGGGUUUAAAGGGUGCGUAGGCGGGUAAGUAAGUCCGUAGUGAAAUCUCUGAGCUUAACUCAGAAACUGCCGUGGAUACUAUUUGCCUUGAAUAUUGUGGAGGUGAGCGGAAUAUGUCAUGUAGCGGUGAAAUGCUUAGAUAUGACAUAGAACACCAAUUGCGAAGGCAGCUCACUACACAAUCAUUGACGCUGAGGCACGAAAGCGUGGGGAUCAAACAGG
rnacentral:rRNA from 1 species